UGAAAACAAAGGUAAAAGUCAUUAUGGUCACUAGAAAGUGAUGGAAAGUUGCAGAGCCUAUCAACCUUCUUUUGUGAGCCAACAAAAGCGGUUGAUGCUCAACAGUCUUACUGCUUACUGUGUCAACUGUCUACUGUGGAAUGUGAGCAAAUGCCAAAGGAGGGCCUGCCCAGCUCUACUCUUGAAUGACAUGUCCUGUUACUCCAGUGGGCAAUCAACCCUGAUCUGCCCUCAGAAAUGCCCUGCAUCUUGCAAGGUCCUUCCCCCAGAAACUUCUGAACUUCAUCUGCCUAAAACUGGAACAGACACGUGCCGGACCCUAACCCUGCACCUGAUGAGCAUGGAUAACUUUCUGGCUUCCCUGAGAGCUGCCUGGGUCAGCUUUUUCCAUUGCCAGCACUUGGGAGCCUAGUGCUGAGGAAGGACACAAGAUAAUAAUAUGAAAAUAACAUUGGACAAAGCAAAGAUUUAUAAACGUGUUAUGGUUGGUCAUUUUGAUAAACAUCAGGUAUGUUCAGAAAAGGGCUAUUCAGAGCUUGUGACUGGAAACUGCAGUUCCUCACAUUUUUACAUCUGCUCUCAGAACAGAAUGAUGGGCUGAUGGAUCGACUGGAACUGAAGCAGAAAAAUAUCUACCUGUUUGAUCUUGCUAAUGUUCCUUCAAAUUUAUCCACCUCAAUGCACAUGGGCAGUCAGUACUGUCUCCAUGCAAGACUGCUCAAUGUGCACAGCACAUUGUAGUAUUGAUGGGUGUUUCUGUUGAGGCUUGAAUGUCUUCUUACAUUUGCCUAAAGCUUGAAGGCUACCGUUCUGAGUGAUAUGACAUUUUGCUAGCAGACAAAUUGUCAAAUGCCAGAUUUGAA
rnacentral:lncRNA from 1 species